rnacentral:pre_miRNA from 1 species
GAACCCAUGUUGGAGAAGGGGAGCGCGUGCAAAGGAUUUAGUGGCAAUUCUGAAACCGAAAGGAGCCAAAGUGGUGUUUGCACGUGCCCUGCUUCUCCAGCAAGGAGCU